rnacentral:rRNA from 1 species
GACGAACGCUGGCCGCGUGCUUAACACAUGCAAGUCGAACGAAGUGGCGAACGGGUGAGUAACGCGUAAUCAACCUGCCCUUCAGAGGGGGACAACAGUUGGAAACGACUGCUAAUACCGCAUACUGAAUGAGGGGAUUGCGUCUGAUUAGCUAGUUGGAGGGGUAACGGCCCAACAAGGCGAUGAUCAGUAGCCGGUAUGCGAGAAUGAACGGCAAAAUUGUGAGUGAGACACGGCCCAGACUCCUACGGGGGGCAGCAGUGGGGGAUCUUGCGAAAUGGACGAAAGUCUGACGGAGCAACGCCGCGUGAGUGAUGACGGCCUUCGGGUUGUAAGGCUCUGUUAAUCGGGACGCGGUACCGGAAUAGAAAGCCACGGCUAACUACGUGCCAGCAGCCGCGGUAAUUC